UACGUAGGGUGCGAGCGUUAAUCGGAAUUACUGGGCGUAAAGCGUGCGCAGGCGGCUUUGCAAGACAGAUGUGAAAUCCCCGGGCUCAACCUGGGAACUGCAUUUGUGACUGCAAGGCUAGAGUACGGCAGAGGGGGAUGGAAUUCCGCGUGUAGCAGUGAAAUGCGUAGAGAUCAGGAGGAAUACCGAUGGCGAAGGCAGGUCUCUGGGCUGAUACUGACGCUCAUGCACGAAAGCGUGGGGAGCAAACAGG
rnacentral:rRNA from 1 species